GGGGAUAUAGCUCAGUGGGUAGAGCGCUUGCCUCAUGAGCAUGAGACCCUGGGUUCAAUCCCCAGCACCA
rnacentral:tRNA from 1 species